GAAAUGCGAUAAGUAAUGUGAAUUGCAGAAUUCAGUUAAUCAUCGAAUCUUUGAACGCACAUUGCGCCCGCCAGUACUCUGGCGGGCAUGCCUGUCCGAGCGUCAUUUCAACCCUCGAACCCCUCCGGGGGGUCGGCGUUGGGGAUCGGCCCUCCCUCGCGGGGGAGCCGUCUCCGAAAUACAGUGGCGGUCUCGCCGCAGCCUCUCCUGCGCAGUAGUUUGCACACUCGCACCGGGAGCGCGGCGCGUCCACAGCCGUUAAACACCCAACUUUCUGAAAUGUUGACCUCGGAUCAGGUAGGAUCACCCGCUGAACUUAA
rnacentral:misc_RNA from 1 species